AAGUGUGGGCUUUGAGGGGAGGUGUGGGGACUUAAACGCAUGCUUAAGUGGGUUGUCUUAGAUUGUACUAGAAAGCUGAGUGUGUGCUUGUCUCCUGUAGUUAAAGGCUAGUUACUUUGCUGGGGACACCAGAAAGCUGUGUGAGUGCUUGUUUUGAAGGCUAGGCUAGGUACUUCAGCCAAUAGUUAAGUGAAUGAUUGUUUUCUGUUAUUUGAAGCCAACGGUUUAGUGUUUGUUUACUGUUCUUUGAAGGCCAAGGGUAUUUAAGACAGCGGCUGAACUCAAGUGGCAGUUGGUUACCCGCAGAAGUUGAGGAAACAAGAAGCCAUCUUUGCUCCCUUGCUUCAGGGGACUUAUAUGUAUUCUCCUGUUCAACUGGAAAUGAAUUAGAAUGACAUCACACCACAAGGAACAAAUGGCAGGAAAGAUGAGUCAAUGUGCCUUUUUUUACAGUGCCAAAAUUACCAGAACCAAGUUCCUGAUCUUCCAGAAUCAGCAGACUUCUGUCAAGAGUGACAUUUUUAGCUUUAACUUCUUCUGGAUCAGCAUAUGGACUUUCAUAGACUUCUGUGUCCAUAGGCAAAGCUUCCCUUUGAUCAUCUGCACAUUGAACUGUAAAACUUAUUAUAAAACUUAUGAACUGUAAAACCCA